rnacentral:rRNA from 1 species
CAUGUCCUACGGGAGGCAGCAGUAAGGGAUAUUGGUCAAUAGGGGAAACCCUGAACCAGCAACGCCGCGUGAGGGAAGACGGCUUUCGGAUUGUAAACCUCUGUCCUCUGUGAAGAUGAUGACGGUAGCAGAGGAGGAAGCUCCGGCUAACUACGUGCCAGCAGCCGCGGCAAUACGUAGGGAGCGAGCGUUGUCCGGAUUUACUGGGUGUAAAGGGUGCGUAGGCGGCUUGGCAAGUCAGUAGUGAAAUCCAUGGGCUUAACCCAUGAACUGCUAUUGAAACUGUCGAGCUUGAGUGCAGUAGG